GCUAAAAUUCUAGCCCACCUACCAAAUCCACCCACAACAUUAAACAAAAUAUUUUAACAGUUUAGUAAAGAAGAUUAAAAAAUUCUACGGAGCUAUACUCUUGUACCGCAAGGGAAAGAUGAAAUAAAAAUGAAAUAAUUAAAAGCACAAAAUAGUAGAGCUUUAUCCUCGUACCUUUUGCAUCAUGGUUUAGCUAGUCUAACUAGGCAAAAAGCUUUUAAGUCUAAACCCCCGAAACUAAGUGAGCUAAUUUAGGGCAGCCAAUGAGCCAAUCCAUCUAUGUUGCAAUAUAGUGGAAAGACCUUAAAAUAGAAGUGAUAAACCUAACGAACUUAGUUAUAGCUGGUUUCUCGGGAAAUGAAUAUCAGUUCCGCCUAAAGUAACUUAAAUUUAAAUAAAUACCCCCUUAACUUUAGAGUAAUUCAAAUAAGGUACAGCCUGUUUGACACCGGAUACAACCCUUGCUUAAGGGUAACAUAACUUAAAACUAAAAUAAGUGGGCCUAAUAGCAGCCACCUUUUAAAAAGCGUUAAAGCUUAACAUGUUUUACUUAAUACCCCCACUAUCAUAGACCCCUAUAAUUAUACUGAGAAAUUCUAUACUGUAUAGAAAUUUUUAUGCUAAAACUAGUAACAAGAGUUUAUACUCUCUAAAGUGCAAGUAUAAGCCAGUAUGAACACAUCACUGGCAAUUAACAAGUCAAAAUAAUAACCCCCCCCCCAAGAAAAUCCUAUUACCUUUACUGUUAACCUAACACCAGAGCACCCCCAGAAAGAUUAAAAGAUAAAGAAGGAACUCGGCAAAUACCAACCCCGCCUGUUUACCAAAAACAUCGCCUCUUGAAUUCAUUAGAGGUCCAGCCUGCCCAGUGACUCUUGUUUAACGGCCGCGGUAUCCUAACCGUGCGAAGGUAGCGUAAUCACUUGUCUUCUAAAUAAAGACUAGUAUGAAAGGCAUCACGAGGGUUUAACUGUCUCCUCUCUCUAAUCAGUGAACCUAAUCUCCCCGUGAAAAAGCGGGGAUUUUAAUAUAAGACGAGAAGACCCUGUGGAGCUUAAAACAUUUUUACACGUGUCCCAAUAUCCAGUACCCAGGUACCACACCCUAUCGACACGAUGAUUUUAUGUUUUUGGUUGGGGUGACCGCGGAGAAUAUAACAUCCUCCGUAGUGAAAGGAACUACUCCUUAACAACAAGCCACAACUUUAUGUAUUAAUAUAUUAACACCACUGACCCAAUAAAUUGAUUAAUGAACCAAGUUACCCCAGGGAUAACAGCGCAAUCCACUUCCAGAGCCCCUAUCGACAAGUGGGCUUACGACCUCGAUGUUGGAUCGGGAUAUCCUAGUGGUGUAGCCGCUACUAAAGGUUCGUUUGUUCAACGAUUAAAAUCCC
rnacentral:rRNA from 1 species